CUCCAGACGACAAGUCCAAAAUGGGACGAAAUGCGCAUCGUGGAU
rnacentral:hammerhead_ribozyme from 1 species